UUGACAGCCCUGCAGGGUAAAUUCUGCUGAUUCUCCUUCCCAAUGUUACAGCAUAAGCAGCUGUGUAAGCUUUCCUUUGGUGCCUCAUUCUCAAUAUGCCUCAAACCUGAGCUGAAAGGAUCGCCUCCAAAGGUGAGGGGAACCCAGUUUCCAUGGCCCAUUCAGUCCUUGACUAUU
ensembl:misc_RNA